AAAUGCUAUAAUUAAUGUGCAUUGCAGAAUUCAGUGAAUCAUCGAGUCUUUGAACGCACAUUGCGCCCCCUGGUAUUCCGGGGGGCAUGCCUGUCCGAGCGUCAUUGCUGCCCUCAAGCACGGCUUGUGUGUUGGGCUUCCGUCCCUGGCAACGGGGACGGGCCCAAAAGGCAGUGGCGGCACCAUGUCUGGUCCUCGAGCGUAUGGGGCUUUGUCACCCGCUCCCGUAGGUCCAGCUGGCAGCUAGCCUCGCAACCAAUCUUUUUAACCAGGUUGACCUCGGAUCAGGUAGGGAUACCCGCUGAACUUAAGC
rnacentral:misc_RNA from 1 species